UAGGGAAUCUUCGGCAAUGGACGAAAGUCUGACCGAGCAACGCCGCGUGAGUGAAGAAGGUUUUCGGAUCGUAAAACUCUGUUGUUAGAGAAGAACAAGGACGUUAGUAACUGAACGUCCCCUGACGGUAUCUAACCAGAAAGCCACGGCUAACUACGUGCCAGCAGCCGCGGUAAUACGUAGGUGGCAAGCGUUGUCCGGAUUUAUUGGGCGUAAAGCGAGCGCAGGCGGUUUCUUAAGUCUGAUGUGAAAGCCCCCGGCUCAACCGGGGAGGGUCAUUGGAAACUGGGAGACUUGAGUGCAGAAGAGGGGAGUGGAAUUCCAUGUGUAGCGGUGAAAUGCGUAGUUAUAUGGAGGAACACCAGUGGCGAAGGCGGCUCUCUGGUCUGUAACUGACGCUGAGGCUCGAAAGCGUGGGGAGCAAACAGG
rnacentral:rRNA from 1 species